rnacentral:lncRNA from 1 species
CGGCAGACGCCAAACUAGCCGCUGCUAUGCAGGGCCAACCACCGCCACCGCAAUACCAGGUCAUUGUCUUCUUCAGGUCGUGCACAUGUAGUAGCCAAAAAUAUAGUAACCGCUCAACAUCUUUAGAAACCACAAGGAAGCAGCCGAGAAAGUCGCUACCAAGCGGGAUCCAUCGCCAUGGUGCCGCCAUAGCACCACACCCUAAACCAAUAGGAUGAUUC